GCAUUUGUGAGAGGGAGAGGAUGCAUACCAUUGGGUAUCCGUUUAACCUUUAUUUAUACAGGAAGGCUGGAGUCGUGGGGGAGAAUUGAUUGUCAGAGAUAUUUUAUCUCCUAUUAAAUAUCCUCGAGAGUCAUACCUGACAACAUCACCUCAUGGCACAUAGGGGCCGUCCCUAUUCAUGAUAAAGGCUGACAAGUGGUGGCUGG
rnacentral:lncRNA from 1 species